UGAUGGAUGGGGAUGCGUCUGAUUAGCUUGUUGGCGGGGUAACGGCCCACCAAGGCGACGAUCAGUAGGGGUUCUGAGAGGAAGGUCCCCCACAUUGGAACUGAGACACGGUCCAAACUCCUACGGGAGGCAGCAGUGAGGAAUAUUGGUCAAUGGGCGAGAGCCUGAACCAGCCAAGUAGCGUGCAGGAUGACGGCCCUAUGGGUUGUAAACUGCUUUUAUAAGGGAAUAAAGUGAGUCUCGUGAGACUUUUUGCAUGUACCUUAUGAAUAAGGACCGGCUAAUUCCGUGCCAGCAGCCGCGGUAAUACGGAAGGUCCGGGCGUUAUCCGGAUUUAUUGGGUUUAAAGGGAGCGUAGGCCGGAGAUUAAGCGUGUUGUGAAAUGUAGACGCUCAACGUCUGCACUGCAGCGCGAACUGGUUUCCUUGAGUACGCACAAAGUGGGCGGAAUUCGUGGUGUAGCGGUGAAAUGCUUAGAUAUCACGAAGAACUCCGAUUGCGAAGGCAGCUCACUGGAGCGCAACUGACGCUGAAGCUCGAAAGUGCGGGUAUCGAACAGGAUUAGAUACCCUGGUAGUCCGCACGGUAAACGAUGGAUGCCCGCUGUUGGUCUGAAUAGGUCAGCGGCCAAGCGAAAGCAUUAAGCAUCCCACCUGGGGAGUAC
rnacentral:rRNA from 1 species